rnacentral:misc_RNA from 1 species
AUGAGAAUCCUCUGGUCCAUAUCCUAGAAAUGCAUUUGUGUAUCUUUCCUCGGGGAUGUCACGCUUUCUCAAUAAUUUCAUCCCUAGGCACUCUGUAUAGAAUUUUAUUGUUCUGUCAAGGUCUCCAACACGGUAAACAACAUGGAGCAUUCUUCUCUUGUCCUGUUUGACCCACUCCAGUACAUUUUCUUGGGUAGAAGCAGUGCUUGCAUGUGUCAUAUUUCCGGCAGCACUGAUUGACAAACAGCCUCCUUUUUCUCUUAAUAGCUUAGAAGCUUUUAGGCCAAAAGACUGCACCUGGGGAACCGCAGUACCCAGAUGACAAUAAGUGAAUUUCCGAGUAGAAUUAUGUGAGAAAUGCGAAACUGAGAAACGUGCUGACCCAGAAAACUUGAGAGAUGAAAGUGAAGGUCUAAUUGAUGAUGCCAUAGGCAAAAUUCUCACCAUUUUUGUUGAUUUAAAGCUGCUUUUUGCAGCUCCUAUAUAUGGAGUGAUGAUUGAUUUUGUUUUUUUUGGUGAUUCUUUGGAAAAAUUGAAGAUUUG